rnacentral:tRNA from 1 species
CGCGGGGUGGAGCAGCCCGGUAGCUCGUCAGGCUCAUAACCUGAAGGUCACAGGUUCAAAUACUGACCCCGCAACCA